rnacentral:rRNA from 1 species
GACAGAGGGUGCAAACGUUGCUCGGAAUUACUGGGCGUAAAGGGCGUGUAGGCGGGAAGGCAAGUCGGGCGUGAAUACCCACGCUCACCAUCGGGAGACUGCACUCGAAACUGCCUUUCUUGAGUGCCGGAGAGGAAAGCGGGAUUCCUGGUGUAGCGGUGAAAUGCGUAGAUAUCAGGAGGAACACCGGUGGUGUAAACGGCUUCUGGACCAUAACUGACGCUGAUGCACGAAAGCGUGGGUAGCAAACAGG